rnacentral:misc_RNA from 1 species
AUUUACGGUUUCAUUUCUUAUUGAAUCAAAUUCGACGAACAAACAGCCUCUUACCUGCAUCUCAACACACACUAAUCACAAGUAGUAGUAGUAGUAGUUGUUCUAAAAGCAGAACUGAAGCAGAGCCUUGUAAUCUUAAUAAAAAUGAUAGUAAAAAACAUUGUAUACAUAUUAUAAGUUUUACUUUCGUCUUGUGAGUGAUUAAAUUCAACAAAAAAUUCGAACGUACAGUAACAUAAUCAAUACCCCUCAAAUAGUUUAAUUGUUGAAAGCAUCACAUCUGUGUCUGAUCUCACCACUUCUCCCAAUUUUAACACCAUGAUCACUUAGCUUCUGCAUUGCUGAAGCAAACGCCUUAAAGAAUGCAUUUUGAUCUCUAAUAUACUCUUCAACAUGAACUCUUGUCCUCGGAUCUGAAAACAGACCCCGGUCCGAAGACAACAGACCCAAACCCUUGGGUAAGUUCUGGUAAUACAUGUUGUCAAACUUAUUCGGAGUCAUGAUGUCGUUGAAAACGGACAAUGUUGGAUCUUUCUGGAAAUUAUUACAAGCAUUUCUCAAAGCUUGAGCAAAUCUGGGAUUGUAAGAAGGAUCAUAUUGGGAAGUUUUGUUGUAAUUGUAAAGAUUUGAGCUGAACUCUUUACAAUGGGAAAACCCAAUUGUGUGAGCACCGGAUAACGCUACCAUUUCCGGUACCGAAAACCCUCUUGACCCGAAAAUUUUAAUGAUUUGAUCCAUCGACAUUGUGGGUCGGGGCAGAUUUCCUUCAACCAACGAAGCUUUAGAAGUAAAAGAAUCUUUACGGCCCAAAUUAACUGGAUAAAACGGGCCUCCGACAUUCUCGCCGUCGCUGCCCGGAAUCUCGUUGUUCAAACCGGAGGCCCGU